rnacentral:lncRNA from 1 species
UGUGUGUGUGUGUGUGUGUGUGUGUGUGUGUGUGUGUGUGUGUGUGUUGAUUGCAGCUAGCUAUCGAUGUCGAACGGGUCCAGCAGACCAUGGGCCGAUCAUGUAUGUGGUGAUCCAUUAACGAGAUACGGUAGUUGAACCAAGUAUUACUAAUUUUUAAAAUUCGCCUAAGGCCCUUAAUUCUCAGAAACGGGCAUGCGUUUCUCC